CGUGUAGGCGGCAAUAUAAGUCGGAUGUGAAAUCCCGCGGCUCAACCGUGGAAGUGCACCCGAAACUGUAUCGCUAGAGUCCCGGAGAGGAUGGUGGAAUACUUGGUGUAGAGGUGAAAUUCGUAGAUAUCAAGUGGAACACCGGUGGCGAAGGCGGCCAUCUGGACGGUGACUGACGCUGAGACGCGAAAGCGUGGGUAGCAAACAGGAUUAGAUACCCUGGUAGUCCACGCCGUAAACGAUGAGUGCUAGGUGUCAGAGGCUUUGACCCUUCUGGUGCCGAAGCUAACGCGUUAAGCACUCCGCCUGGGGAGUACGGUCGCAAGACUAAA
rnacentral:rRNA from 1 species